AUUGAACGCUGGCGGCAUGCCUUACACAUGCAAGUCGAACGGUAACGGGUCCUUCGGGAUGCCGACGAGUGGCGAACGGGUGAGUAAUAUAUCGGAACGUGCCCAGUAGUGGGGGAUAACUGCUCGAAAGAGCAGCUAAUACCGCAUACGACCUGAGGGUGAAAGGGGGGGAUCGCAAGACCUCUCGCUAUUGGAGCGGCCGAUAUCAGAUUAGCUAGUUGGUGGGGUAAAGGCCUACCAAGGCAACGAUCUGUAGUUGGUCUGAGAGGACGACCAGCCACACUGGGACUGAGACACGGCCCAGACUCCUACGGGAGGCAGCAGUGGGGAAUUUUGGACAAUGGGCGCAAGCCCGAUCCAGCAAUGCCGCGUGCAGGAAGAAGGCCUUCGGGUUGUAAACUGCUUUUGUCAGGGAAGAAAUCUUCUGGGCUAAUACCCCGGGAGGAUGACGGUACCUGAAGAAUAAGCACCGGCUAACUACGUG
rnacentral:rRNA from 1 species